rnacentral:lncRNA from 10 species
GCUUUGUUUACCGAGCCAGAGUGCAGUGGUAUGAUCUCGGCUCACUGCAACCUCCACCUACCAGGUUCAAGCAAUUCUCUGGCCUCAGCCUCCUGAGUAGCUGGGAUAACAGGUGCACACCACCUUGCCUGGCUAAUUUUCGUAUUUUUAAUAUAGUUGGGGUUUUACCAUGUUGGCUAGGCUGGUCUCGAACUCCUGACCUCAAGUGAUCCACCCACCUCACCCUCCCAAAGUGCUGGGAUUACAGGCGUGAGCCACCAGGCCCAGCCUAAUUUUUUGUAUUUUUAGUAGAGACAGGGUUUUGCCAUGUUGGCCAGGCUGGUCUCAGACUCUUAUCCUCAAGUGAUCCAGCUGCCUCAGCCUCCCAAAGUGUGGGGAUUACAGGUGUGAGCCACCGCACCCGGCCUUCUGCUUGAUCAAUUCUGCUAUUAAGACUCUGAUGCAUUCUUCAGUAUGUCAAUUUCAUUUUCAACUCUAGAAUUUCCUCUUGAUUCUUUUUAAUUAUUUCUAUUUCCUUGUUACAUUCAUCUGAUAGGAAAUCUGAAUUCCUUCUCUGUGUCAUCUUGAAUUGCUUUGAGUUUCCUCAAUACAGCUCUUUCAAAUUGUCUGCCUGAAAGGUUGCCUAUUUUUGUUUCUCCGUGAUUGGUCCCUGGUGCCUUAUUCAGUUUGGUGAGGUCAUGUUUUCCUGCGUGGUGUUGAUGCUUAUGGAUAUUCAUCAGUGUCUGAGCAGUGAAGAGUUAGGCAUUUAUUGUAGUCUUCACAGUCUGGGCUUAUUUGUGCCUGUGAUUCUUGGGAAGGCUUUUCAGGUAUUCAAAGGGACUUGAACCCCGAACCCAAUAAAACUGUAGUUCUGCGGACUCGUAAAGGUACCACCUUAGUGGUCUUGGAGAAGAUCCAGAAGAAUUCUCUGCAUUACCAGGCAGAGAUUCUUGUUCUUUUCCCUUGCUUUCUUCCAAACAAAUGGAGUCUCUCUCUCUCUCUCUCCAAGCUAGGCCUCUUGGAACUGGGGGUGGAAGGACACAAGAACCCCUGUGGCCAUCACCACUGGGACUGCACUGGUUCAGACCUGAAGCAGCCCAGCACUGGGUCUCACCUAAGGUCUGCUAGAACUGCUACCUGGCCAUCACCUGAAUUCACUCAAGGGCCUGGGACUCUACAAUCAGCAGGUGGCAAAACCAGCCAGGGUGUUGUCCCUCCCUUCAGGGCAGUGAGUUCCCUGGGAAGGUCCAGAGAUGCUGUCUGGGAGCCAGGGAUUGAUAAACCUUAGAAUUCUAUUCUAAGAUAGAAUAGAAUUCUAUAGAUGUAUCAUUCCACUGCAGGUAAGCUGGCACUCAAACCACAAGACAAAGUCCUUCCCACUCUUCACUCCCCUUUCCUCAGUCAGAGGAACCUCUCCUUGUGGCCACCACUUCCACCAGCCUGCAAGGAGUUCUCCCAGGCCACUGCUGAUGUUCACAAAAACCCCGAGGGCUCUUCAGGCAGCCUGCGAUGAAUGCUAUCAGGCCUGUGACUCAUCCUUCAGGCAGUGGGCUCCCCUUGGCCCAGGGCAGGUCCGCAAAUGCUGACCAACAGCCUAGGCCUGUACUCAGGGACCCCAAGAGCCUGCUUGGUGCUCUACCCCACUGUGGCUGAGCUGGUACCUAAGGGGCAAGACAAAGUCCCCUUUACUCUUCCUCCUGCUUUUCUCAAACAGAAGGCAUCUUUCACUGUAGCCACCACAGCCGGAAAUGUGCUGGAUCACACCUGAAGCCAGCAUGUCUCAGAGCCCAGUGCCCACAGGUGGAUGGGAAGUAGGAUUUAGUGUCCACUGGUUGUGAGCCCAGCUCGGCACUCGGGUUUGCCUGUGAAUUGCAGUCCUGAUGGCCUAAACUGCCCCUCAAGUCUGCUAAGGGCCCCAGAGCACUCCAGCUCGCAGUGGCAAGGCUUGCCAGAACUCAAGCUCCAACUGCUAAGAUGGGCAAUUCCGGUGAGUGCCAGUCCAAGCGCUCCUUGUGUGAGCCAGUGUCAGCGAAGUACACCUCGGUUCUGCUUUCUGCUGUGACAAUGCAGCACCGAGUUCAAUGCGAAGUCUCACAAUUGCUAUGCUCUCCCUCUCCAAAGCACACUGAUUCUCCGUGCCACGGGGCUGCUGCUGGGGGGUGGGGGAUGGGUGGCAUCAGCAACUCAAGACUGUCUUUCCUGCCCUCUUCAGCAUCUCUUUCAGCGAUAUAAGGUUAAAACCGGGUACUGUGAUUGUUCACCUGAUUUUUGGUUCUUGCGAUGGUGCUUUUUGUGUGUAGUUAGCUGUUAAAAUUUGGUGGUC